GAUUGACCUCGGAUCAGGUAGGGAUACCCGCUGAACUUAAGCAUAUCAAUAAGCGGAGGAAAAGAAACCAACAGGGAUUGCCUCAGUAACGGCGAGUGAAGCGGCAACAGCUCAAAUUUGAAAUCUGGCCCGUUUCGGGUCCGAGUUGUAAUUUGUAGAAGAUGUUUCGGGCGACGGGCCGGUCUAAGUCCCUUGGAACAGGGCGUCAUGGAGGGUGAGAAUCCCGUGUGUGACCGGCGUCCCAGCCCAGGUGAAACUCCUUCGACGAGUCGAGUUGUUUGGGAAUGCAGCUCAAAAUGGGUGGUAUAUUUCAUCUAAAGCUAAAUACCGGCCAGAGACCGAUAGCGCACAAGUAGAGUGAUCGAAAGAUGAAAAGCACUUUGGAAAGAGAGUUAAACAGUACGUGAAAUUGUUGAAAGGGAAGCGCUUGCGACCAGACCUGCCCGCGGACGAUCCCCGGGGGUUCUCCCCCGCCCAUUCGUCCGUGACCAGGCCAGCAUCGGUUUCGGUGGUCGGAUAAAGACCGUGGGAAUGUAGCUCCCCUCGGGGAGUGUUAUAGCCCACGCGUGCAAUACGGCCCACCGGGACCGAGGACCGCGCUUCGGCUAGGAUGCUGGCGUAAUGGUCGUAAGCGACCCGUCUU
rnacentral:rRNA from 1 species